CCUACGGGAGGCUGCAGUGAGGAAUAUUGGUCAAUGGGCGGAAGCCUGAACCAGCCAAGUAGCGUGCAGGAUGACGGCCCUACGGGUUGUAAACUGCUUUUGUACGGGAGUAACGCGCCUUACGUGUCUGGCUUUUCAUUUACCGUACGAAUAAGGACCGGCUCAUUCCGUGCCAUCAGCCGGGGUACUACGGAAGGUCCGGGCGUUAUCCGGAUUUAGUGGGUUUAAGGGGAGCGUAGGCCGCAUGACAAGCGUGCUGUGAAAUGCCCGGGCUCAACGCGGGCCUUGCAGCGGAUACUGGCGUGCUUGAGUCCGCGGGAGGCAGGCGGAAU
rnacentral:rRNA from 1 species